GGAGGAGGAGGAGCGGAGGCCAAGGCCUCGCCGUGUGGACGGGCACGGAGAGGAUUCGGAGCGGAGUCGGGUCGACCCGCCGGCAAAGGACCCUUAAUAUAUAUCCCCCAGGCUAAUUAUUUCGUUUUCUCUUCUUUGGGUACUCGACGCGUUGCACUGAAAAACAAAGCCAAGCAGAAGAGACUCUGCACAUGCUCUGGAGCAUUGUGUGUUGGCAGGGCGUUUCAAACACACACACACAAGUACGUUAAGUUUGAAAUCCAAAACAUAGGUUGAACACACUCUUUGGGCAGAGCAGCUUUUCCCAUAGUACAGG